rnacentral:rRNA from 1 species
CAGUAGCCGCGGUAAUACGAAGGGUGCAAGCGUUAAUCGGAAUUACUGGGCGUAAAGCGUGCGUAGGCGGUUUGUUAAGUCUGUUGUGAAAUCCCCGGGCUCAACCUGGGAAUGGCAAUGGAUACUGGCAAGCUAGAGUGUGUCAGAGGAUGGUGGAAUUCCCGGUGUAGCGGUGAAAUGCGUGGAGAUCAAGAGGAACACUCGUGGCGAAAGCGAGCUACUGGACAAUAACUGACGCUGAGGCUCGAAGGCCAGGGUGGCGAAAGGGAUUAGAUACCCCCGUAGUCCCUGUCUCUUAUAC